GCUUAUGGCCAUACCACCCUGAGCAUGUCCGAUCUUAUCUGAUCUCAAAAACUAAGCAGGGUUGGGCUUGGAUAGGACUUGGAUGGGAGCCUGCCUGUGAAUGUCAGGUGGUGUGAGUG
rnacentral:rRNA from 1 species